UAGGGAAUCUUCGGCAAUGGGGGGAACCCUGACCGAGCAACGCCGCGUGAGUGAAGAAGGUUUUCGGAUCGUAAAGCUCUGUUGUUAAGGAAGAACGAGUGUGAGAAUGGAAAGUUCAUGCUGUGACGGUACUUAACCAGAAAGGGACGGCUAACUACGUGCCAGCAGCCGCGGUAAUACGUAGGUCCCGAGCGUUGUCCGGAUUUAUUGGGCGUAAAGCGAGCGCAGGCGGUCAAUUAAGUCUGAUGUGAAAGCCCCCGGCUCAACCGGGGAGGGUCAUUGGAAACUGGUUGACUUGAGUGCAGAAGAGGAGAGUGGAAUUCCAUGUGUAGCGGUGAAAUGCGUAGAUAUAUGGAGGAACACCAGUGGCGAAGGCGACUCUCUGGUCUGUUACUGACGCUGAGGCUCGAAAGCGUGGGUAGCAAACAGG
rnacentral:rRNA from 1 species